UACGUAGGAUGCAAGCGUUGUCCGGAAUUAUUGGGCGUAAAGAGCGAGCAGGCGGUUUGGCAAGUUGGACGUGAAAUUUUAGGGCUUAACCCUAAAGGGUCGUCCAAAACUCCCAGACUAGAGUGCAGGAGAGGAAAGCGGAAUUCCCGGUGUAGUGGUGAAAUGCGUAGAUAUCGGGAGGAACACCAGAGGCGAAGGCGGCUUUCUGGCCUGUAACUGACGCUGAGGCGCGAAGGCUGGGGUAGCGAACAGG
rnacentral:rRNA from 1 species